CAGGUAAUAAUUUUAAUUUUAAUAAUCAUUUUUAUUCCUUCUUAAAAGGGAAAAUUCCUCGCUCCGACCGCGCCCCGAGGGAUCCCAAAAAUCCCGGAGCUGUCGGAAUUUGGAGAUUUGGGAUUUUCCCCGCCCGAAAAAAUUCCCAAAAUCUUCGGGAUCAGCUCGGAAUUCCGGGAGGAGAUGCAGGAAAGCUACGAGAGCGUCAUUUCCUUGGCCGAGGAAAUCGCCAUCAGCUGGCCGCGGAUCACCGCCUUCGCCGAAUCGCACCGGAGACGCGGCCUGGGCGCCGGUGAGUCACCGGGGAUCGGCCGGAAUCGGGGUUGGAAUCUUCCAGUCGGGACAAAAUUUGGGAUUUGGACCCGAA